UACAGAGGGUGCGAGCGUUGUCCGGAAUCACUGGGCGUAAAGGGCGCGUAGGUGGCGCCCCCAAGUCCGUGGUGAAAAGCUCGAUGCUCAACAUCGAGUCGGCCACGGAAACUGGGGGGCUCGAGCACUGUAGAGGCAGAUGGAAUUCCGGGUGUAGCGGUGGAAUGCGUAGAGAUCCGGAAGAACACCGGUGGCGAAGGCGGUCUGCUGGGCAGUAGCUGACACUGAGGCGCGACAGCGUGGGGGAGCAAACAGG
rnacentral:rRNA from 1 species